rnacentral:rRNA from 1 species
GAUGAACGCUGGCGGCGUGCCUAACACAUGCAAGUCGAGCGAUUCUCUUCGGAGAAGAGCGGCGGACGGGUGAGUAACGCGUGGGUAACCUGCCCUGUACACACGGAUAACAUACCGAAAGGUAUGCUAAUACGAGAUAAUAUGCUUUUAUCGCAUGGUAGAAGUAUCAAAGCUUUUGCGGUACAGGAUGGACCCGCGUCUGAUUAGCUAGUUGGUAAGGUAACGGCUUCCCAAGGCGACGAUCAGUAGCCGACCUGAGAGGGUGAUCGGCCACAUUGCAACUGAGACACGGUCCAAACUCCUACGGGAGGCAGCAGUGGGGAAUAUUGCACAAUGGGCGAAAGCCUGAUGCAGCAACGCCGCGUGAGCGAUGAAGGCCUUCGGGUCGUAAAGCUCUGUCCUCAAGGAAGAUAAUGACGGUACUUGAGGAGGAAGCCCCGGCUAACUACGUGCCAGCAGCCGCCGUAA